rnacentral:misc_RNA from 1 species
AAGAUAUAUAAAUUAUGAGUUCAGCAGUACAAAUUGAACCAAGGGAGAACAGAAAGUAGAGGGGGGCUGAACUAAGGAAGCACACGGAGAAAAUUACAAACUAGAAACAAUGAAUAACAGAUAUUUACACCUUUCUUUUACCACCUAUUUAUCAAAUUAUUUGCUAAAGCCUCCUCCAAUAUGUCGAAUUUUUUCCCAACUUGGCAACACUCGUCGCAGCAGAGGCUCAAUGAAUAAGUAGCACAAGACCUCAAUGAGCUGAUAUGUUUCAGAGAUGUCAACAGUCCAUUUUUCCAGCUGACCACCUCAACUUAUGUUUGUAAGCAUUUCCGUUUCUCAAUCUUGCAAAUGUCUCAGAAAAUUAUCUUGUCGGGGUGAUUUCAUCAGCAUAGAUUGAAACACAAGAAUCCGCUGCUCCAGCAGCAAGCAGCACUUGAUAGGGAUGGAAGGUAAGACAUCUGACUGAACCUAUUUUCUGAGCCAUGAAGGUGGACAGAUAUCUUAUGGUGCCUAAUUGCUCACCUUCCAGGUUGAAGACUUUGAUUAGCUGCUUAGCUGAACCACUUGCUAUAAGGGGUGCAUGACGAUGAACAGCUAGUGCCGUUAGCGAUCCCCUAUGAGCAUCAAUUGUUAAGUAAGCUUCCUUGAGAUUUCUCAUAUCAAGGAACUGAAUAUCACCAGCUUGAGAGGCACUGACGAUCUUUGCCGGUUCAAGUCCAGGUUGAAAGCCGAUCCCGACUACUCUCUCUACUCUUUGGGUGUGCGGUCGUGAUGCACAAACAAGCAGUUCAGGCAUUCGAAUAUCAAAUAGUUUGACACAUCCAUCCACAAAGCCAGCAGCAAAGUGUCCUGCGUGAACUUGAGAAGCUGACAAUGCUGAGAUGCUACAAUCUGAGGAUGUUGGAAUUGUAUUAACAAGUUGUUCUUUGUCAAGAUCCCAAGCCAUGAUUGACGAAACUUCAGCAGAUGAAAACAGAUAUCCAGACUGCUGCUGCCAAUCCACAACAGCGCUCACACUACGGACACCAGGUCUGUGACCUUGAAUGGAAGAGAAUGCAGAGACUAGUCUUUGUCGCCCUCUUACAGUAUAGUCUUUCCAGAUCCGGAUGUUCCCAUCACUUGAAGCAACAAGGAGCAAACUCUCAUCUAGCUCAUUGACAAGACACAGCUUUGAAAUUCCUUUAUCAGGGUAACUGUGGUUAUCAAAGCUGUUAAGAAGCGUAGCCUCCUCGUAAUUCCAUAUCCUGAUUCUUUCACUCUCAUCUGCAGCAAUAACAAUAGGUGAGAAGGGCUGCAGCAAAGCAGUUUUGGUGCCAGUCUCAAACUUAGUAUCCCAACUAGCAAUUUGAUUGUGUAGUUUGCUUACAGAAGAGUGUUGGCACUUAGCAAUGAGGUCAAGGGCCAUCUUUUCCUUCUUUUCCCUUCUGUCAACCAUCUCUUCACUAUCAUCAGCUGCAGUAAGAAGUGGCUUUGAGAAGUGUCCACAACUCCAGUUGUAGAUAGUUGAUUGGGGAAGAAAACUGCGUUCUGAAGGUCCAGAUGAUCCAGCAGACCCCAAUAAUGGGUCAGCUAAUCCCGAGUCUUGAGAGUGCA